rnacentral:rRNA from 1 species
UACGUAGGGAGCGAGCGUUGUCCGGAAUCAUUGGGCGUAAAGAGCAUGUAGGUGGAUCAAUUAGUCUGCUGUGAAAGUCAAAGGCUCAACCUUUGAAAGCCGGUGGAUACUGUUGGUCUAGAGUACGGAAGAGGCGAGUGGAAUUCCUGGUGUAGCGGUGGAAUGCGCAGAUAUCAAGAGGAACACCAAUAGCGAAGGCAGCUCGCUGGGACGUUACUGACACUGAGAUGCGAAAGCGUGGGGAGCAAACAGG